CAAAGGCUUGGUCCUGACUUUGCCAUCAACUUUAACUAAACUUACACAUGCAAGUAUCCGCACUCCCGUGAGAAUGCCCAACGGUUUCCUUAUCGGAAACAAGGAGCUGGUAUCAGGCACAACCCCCUUAGCCCACGACGCCUAGCCUAAGCCACACCCCCAAGGGAAUUCAGCAGUGAUAGACAUUAAGCCAUGAGCGAAAGCUUGACUUAGUUAACGUUAAGAGGGUUGGUAAAUCUCGUGCCAGCCACCGCGGUUAUACGAGAGACCCAAGUAGAUGGCCUCCGGCGUAAAGAGUGGUUAAAAAUGCCCAAAACACUAAAGCCAAAUAACCUCAUAACUGUUAUACGUUCAUGAGAACAAGAAGCCCAACCACGAAAGUGGCUUUACACAUUUUGACCCCACGAAAGCUAAGACACAAACUGGGAUUAGGUACCCCACUAUGCUUAGCCAUAAACAUAGAUAUCUACUUACUUAUUUAUCCGCCCGGGAACUACGAGCGUCAGCUUGAAACCCAAAGGACUUGGCGGUGCUUUAGAUCCACCUAGAGGAGCCUGUUCUAGAACCGAUGAUCCCCGUUAAACCUCACCUUUCCUUGUUCCUUUCCGCCUAUAUACCGCCGUCGUCAGCUUACUCUGUGAAGAAUAAGCAGUAAGCGCAAUCGGCACAGCCCAAAACGCCAGGUCGAGGUGUAGCGAAUGGAAAGGGAAGAAAUGGGCUACAUUCAAUAGUAAUAAUGCACACGGAUGGUGCUCUGAAAGAGGCACCUGAAGGAGGAUUUAGAAGUAAGCCGGGAAUAGAGUGCCCUGCUGAAACUGGCCCUGAAGCGCGUACACACCGCCCGUCACUCUCCCCGAAAAAAACACCAACCAUUUCUAAUAAACCAAAAUAAUAGAGGGGAGGCAAGUCGUAACAUGGUAAGUGUACCGGAAGGUGCACUUGGAUAAAAUC
rnacentral:ncRNA from 1 species